GGUUAAGUGACUAAGCGUACACGGUGGAUGCCUAGGCAGUCAGAGGCGAUGAAGGGCGUGCUAAUCUGCGAUAAGCGUCGGUAAGGUGAUAUGAACCGUAAUAACCGACGAUACCCGAAUGGGGAAACCCGGUGCACUUUGGUGCAUCAUUGCAACAUGAAUACAUAGUGUUGCAAGGCGAACCUGGGGAACUGAAACAUCUAAGUACCCAGAGGAAAAGAAAUCAACCGAGAUUCCCCCAGUAGCGGCGAGCGAACGGGGAACAGCCCAGAACCUGAAUCAGUUUGUGCAUUAGUGGAAGCGUCUGGAAAGUCGCAGGGUACAGGGUGAUACUCCCGUACACAAAAAUGCACUUGCUGUGAGUUCGAUGAGUAGGGCGGGACACGUGACAUCCUGUCUGAAUAUGGGGGGACCAUCCUCCAAGGCUAAAUACUCCUGACUGACCGAUAGUGAACCAGUACCGUGAGGGAAAGGCGAAAAGAACCCCGGCGAGGGGAGUGAAACAGAACCUGAAACCGUGUACGUACAAGCAGUGGGAGCACCUUCGUGGUGUGACUGCGUACCUUUUGUAUAAUGGGUCAGCGACUUAUAUUCUGUAGCAAGGUUAACCGUAUAGGGGAGCCGAAGGGAAACCGAGUCUUAACUGGGCGUUAAGUUGCAGGGUAUAGACCCGAAACCCGGUGAUCUAGCCAUGGGCAGGUUGAAGGUUGGGUAACACUAACUGGAGGACCGAACCGACUAAUGUUGAAAAAUUAGCGGAUGACUUGUGGCUGGGGGUGAAAGGCCAAUCAAACCGGGAGAUAGCUGGUUCUCCCCGAAAGCUAUUUAGGUAGCGCCUCGUGAACUCAUCUUCGGGGGUAGAGCACUGUUUCGGCUAGGGGGCCAUCCCGGCUUACCAACCCGAUGCAAACUGCGAAUACCGAAGAAUGUUAUCACGGGAGACACACGGCGGGUGCUAACGUCCGUCGUGAAGAGGGAAACAACCCAGACCGCCAGCUAAGGUCCCAAAGUCAUGGUUAAGUGGGAAACGAUGUGGGAAGGCACAGACAGCCAGGAUGUUGGCUUAGAAGCAGCCAUCAUUUAAAGAAAGCGUAAUAGCUCACUGGUCGAGUCGGCCUGCGCGGAAGAUGUAACGGGGCUAAACCAUGCACCGAAGCUGCGGCAGCGACGCUUAUGCGUUGUUGGGUAGGGGAGCGUUCUGUAAGCCGUCGAAGGUGGCCUGUGAGGGCUGCUGGAGGUAUCAGAAGUGCGAAUGCUGACAUAAGUAACGAUAAAGCGGGUGAAAAGCCCGCUCGCCGGAAGACCAAGGGUUCCUGUCCAACGUUAAUCGGGGCAGGGUGAGUCGACCCCUAAGGCGAGGCCGAAAGGCGUAGUCGAUGGGAAACAGGUUAAUAUUCCUGUACUCGGUGUUACUGCGAAGGGGGGACGGAGAAGGCUAUGUUAGCCGGGCGACGGUUGUCCCGGUUUAAGCAUGUAGGCGGAGAGUUUAGGUAAAUCCGGACUCUUUUUAACGCUGAGGUGUGAUGACGAGGCACUACGGUGCUGAAGUAACAAAUGCCCUGCUUCCAGGAAAAGCCUCUAAGCAUCAGGUAACACGGAAUCGUACCCCAAACCGACACAGGUGGUCAGGUAGAGAAUACCAAGGCGCUUGAGAGAACUCGGGUGAAGGAACUAGGCAAAAUGGUGCCGUAACUUCGGGAGAAGGCACGCUGGCGCGUAGGUGAAGGGACUUGCUCCCGGAGCUGAAGCCAGUCGAAGAUACCAGCUGGCUGCAACUGUUUAUUAAAAACACAGCACUGUGCAAACACGAAAGUGGACGUAUACGGUGUGACGCCUGCCCGGUGCCGGAAGGUUAAUUGAUGGGGUUAUCCGCAAGGAGAAGCUCUUGAUCGAAGCCCCGGUAAACGGCGGCCGUAACUAUAACGGUCCUAAGGUAGCGAAAUUCCUUGUCGGGUAAGUUCCGACCUGCACGAAUGGCGUAAUGAUGGCCAGGCUGUCUCCACCCGAGACUCAGUGAAAUUGAACUCGCUGUGAAGAUGCAGUGUACCCGCGGCAAGACGGAAAGACCCCGUGAACCUUUACUAUAGCUUGACACUGAAUAUUGAACCUUGAUGUGUAGGAUAGGUGGGAGGCUUUGAAGCGUGGACGCCAGUCUGCGUGGAGCCAACCUUGAAAUACCACCCUUUAACGUUUGAUGUUCUAACCUGGCGCCGUGAUCCGGCGUGGGGACAGUGUCUGGUGGGUAGUUUGACUGGGGCGGUCUCCUCCUAAAGAGUAACGGAGGAGCACGAAGGUUAGCUAAUCACGGUCGGACAUCGUGAGGUUAGUGCAAUGGCAUAAGCUAGCUUGACUGCGAGAGUGACGGCUCGAGCAGGUGCGAAAGCAGGUCAUAGUGAUCCGGUGGUUCUGAAUGGAAGGGCCAUCGCUCAACGGAUAAAAGGUACUCCGGGGAUAACAGGCUGAUACCGCCCAAGAGUUCAUAUCGACGGCGGUGUUUGGCACCUCGAUGUCGGCUCAUCACAUCCUGGGGCUGAAGUAGGUCCCAAGGGUACGGCUGUUCGCCGUUUAAAGUGGUACGCGAGCUGGGUUUAGAACGUCGUGAGACAGUUCGGUCCCUAUCUGCCGUGGGCGCUGGAAGAUUGAGAGGGGUUGCUCCUAGUACGAGAGGACCGGAGUGAACGCACCACUGGUGUUCGGGUUGUCAUGCCAAUGGCAUUGCCCGGUAGCUAAGUGCGGAAAAGAUAAGCGCUGAAAGCAUCUAAGCGCGAAACUUGCCUCGAGAUGAAUCUUCCCUGGGCCUUUAAGGCCCCUGAAGGGACGUUGAAGACUACGACGUUGAUAGGCCGGGUGUGUAAGCGCAGCGAUGCGUUGAGCUAACCGGUACUAAUGACCCGUGAGGCUUAACCUU
rfam:Erwinia billingiae strain Eb661 complete chromosome.